GUGGGGAAUAUUGGACAAUGGGCGAAAGCCUGAUCCAGCCAUGCCGCGUGUGUGAAGAAGGUCUUCGGAUUGUAAAGCACUUUAAGUUGGGAGGAAGGGCAGUAAGUUAAUACCUUGCUGUUUUGACGUUACCGACAGAAUAAGCACCGGCUAACUUCGUGCCAGCAGCCGCGGUAAUACGAAGGGUGCAAGCGUUAAUCGGAAUUACUGGGCGUAAAGCGCGCGUAGGUGGUUCAGCAAGUUGAAGGUGAAAUCCCCGGGCUCAACCUGGGAACUGCCUCCAAAACUACUGAGCUAGAGUACGGUAGAGGGUAGUGGAAUUUCCUGUGUAGCGGUGAAAUGCGUAGAUAUAGGAAGGAACACCAGUGGCGAAGGCGACUACCUGGACUGAUACUGACACUGAGGUGCGAAAGCGUGGGGAGCAAACAGGAUUAGAAACCCCAGUAGUCC
rnacentral:rRNA from 1 species